AUCUCUCUGAGACUCUGUGUCCUCAACUGCAGGGAGAACAACAGCAGGUACUAUACUGAAAUGUGAUUCCCCUGGCUUUCUUUUUUGGAAAAUACCUGCGAUGAGUUCCAUGCAGGGAAAGAAAAGCUGUUGACAGGAAAAGCUUCUGACAGGGGAUGGCCUUCUUCUUCGAGUGUUCUGAAAGGAGACAGUUGCUUCAAGCAAGAUGAGGCAGGGAUGCCAGGGCCAGGUACAAGAGGCCCAGAACAUAAAAGGGUCACCUCUAACUAUAGAGAAGACUGAGUGUCCGCAGUUUCCUCGGUGAGAGCAGCACCAUGCACUGCACACAGACCUGGGCCAGGUGGACAUGCACCGGAGCCCUUUUCUGUCACUUCCUGUGUAACCUUGGGCAAAUUGCUUAACCACCCAGAACAUGAGUUUUCUCAAGCUGUUGUGCAAAAUAAAAGAGAUAAUAUGCAUGUAAA